GGUCAUUGACUACAGACAUCAUCAACCCUUUAGUUGAGGAUCCUGCAUAGUCUACAUAAAGUAAAGGAACCUGAACCCCUUUGACGAGGAUCCUGCAUAGUCUCAUGGAUCGACAGGGCGACAUGGAUCCAUCACAUAGCGCAAACAAGGAUGUAGGUCGCGACAUUUCUACCAAGCAGGUAAACCUCAU